GGGGUCAAUGGGUGAUCAAGAAGGCCCAUGGCCUAGAUUGGCGACCUCCAUUGCACUUAGGAGGGGCGCCUGUCUAAGGUCGGCCCAAGUGGUCGAGCCUACGUCAUAAUUUGUGGUAGAGGGGGCCUGCGUUCGCGCGGCCCCUGCCCAAUUCUAGUUAAGAAGUCUUUUGCGCAUUUAAAAUUAUGAACCCUCAUAAGGAAACUGUAUUAAAUCUUUCAAGUUUUUGAUAACUCCCCAAUUGUACUCACAUGUGUUCUUCAAUUAUUAUUCAAUUAAUCACCCAUGUCGUUCUCAAUUGAUGCUUUGGCAAUGUCAGGAGCAGAUUACCAUAAUGUUACCGUACGUUUCCAAGAUCUUGACUGGGCGGAUUUUGAGCUGCCACCACCCCAUUUGUUAUCUGAAAAUGAGGAUGACGAGGAACAAGCUUGGAGAACAGUAGGCUGCAGCCUCUCCAUUGGACCUCGAUUACAUAAUUUCCAGGAUCAAUCAGAAACUUCUCAAAGUGGAAAGAAAAUCACCGCUAAUUAAAGGGUGAUAUCCAUGGGAAUACAGCAGAGAAUCAUAGAUCAAUUUAUGCAGUUUUGGAUGGAUUGUUUAUUUAAAGCAUAAUUCUUCAAUUAUUUCAGACCAGAAAUGCAGCUUGCAUUUACUUGUUAUUUUUAUUGUAGGGAGGGGCUUUGUUAGUUGCAUCUACUUCGAGUCACUGUAAAAAUGGUAGAUUUGUUGUUUAAAAUGCACUCUCUGAGAUUUCA
rnacentral:lncRNA from 1 species